rnacentral:rRNA from 1 species
CAAGGAUUCCCCUAGUAACUGCGAGUGAAGCGGGAAAAGCUCAAAUUUAAAAUCUGGUAGUCUUUGGCUGCCCGAGUUGUAAUCUAGAGAAGCGUUAUCCGCGCUGGACCGUGUAUAAGUCUCCUGGAAUGGAGCGUCAUAGAGGGUGAGAAUCCCGUCUUUGACACGGACUACCAGGGCUUUGUGAUGCGCUCUCAAAGAGUCGGGUUGUUUGGGAAUGCAGCUCUAAAUGGGUGGUAAAUUCCAUCUAAAGCUAAAUAUUGGCGAGAGACCGAUAGCGAACAAGUACCGUGAGGGAAAGAUGAAAAGAACUUUGGAAAGAGAGUUAAACAGUACGUGAAAUUGUUGAAAGGGAAACGCUUGAAGUCAGUCGCGUUGGCUAGGAAUCAGCCUUGCUUUUGCUUGGUGUACUUCCUGGUUGACGGGUCAGCAUCAAUUUUGACCGGUGGAAAAAGGCCAGAGGAAUGUGGCAUCUUCGGAUGUGUUAUAGCUUCUGGUUGUAUACAUCGGUUGGGAUUGAGGAACUCAGCACGCCGCAAGGUCGGGGUUCGCCCACGUUCGUGCUUAGGAUGCUGGCAUAAUGGCUUUAAUCGACCCGUCUUGAAACACGGACCAAGGAGUCUAACAUGCCUGCGAGUGUUUGGGUGGAAAACCCGAGCGCGUAAUGAAAGUGAAAGUUGAGAUCCCUGUCGUGGGGAGCAUCGACGCCCGGACCAGACCUUCUGUGACGGCUCCGCGGUAGAGCAUGUAUGUUGGGACCCGAAAGAUGGUGAACUAUGCCUGAAUAGGGUGAAGCCAGAGGAAACUCUGGUGGAGGCUCGUAGCGAUUCUGACGUGCAAAUCGAUCGUCAAAUUUGGGUAUAGGGGCGAAAGACUAAUCGAACCAUCUAGUAGCUGGUUCCUGCCGAAGUUUCCCUCAGGAUAGCAGAAACUCAUAUCAGAUUUAUGUGGUAAAGCGAAUGAUUAGAGGCCUUGGGGUUGCAACAACCUUAACCUAUUCUCAAACUUUAAAUAUGUAAGAACGAGCCGUCUCUUGAUUGGACCGCUCGGCGAUUGAGAGUUUCUAGUGGGCCAUUUU